GCAAGAAUGAAACUCAAAGGAAUUGACGGGGGCCCGCACAAGCGGUGGAGCAUGUGGUUUAAUUCGAUGAUACGCGAGGAACCUUACCAGGGCUUAAAUGUAGUCUGACAGGUCUGGAAACAGACUUUUCUUCGGACAGAUUACAAGGUGCUGCAUGGUUGUCGUCAGCUCGUGCCGUGAGGUGUCAGGUUAAGUCCUAUAACGAGCGCAACCCCUGUGGUUAGUUGCCAGCGAGUAAUGUCGGGAACUCUAGCCAGACUGCCGGUGCAAACCGCGAGGAAGGUGGGGAUGACGUCAAAUCAUCACGGCCCUUACGUCCUGGGCCACACACGUGCUACAAUGGUAGGGACAGAGAGCAGCCACUUCGCGAGAAGGAGCGAAUCUACAAACCCUAUCACAGUUCGGAUCGCAGUCUGCAACUCGACUGCGUGAAGCUGGAAUCGCUAGUAAUCGCAUAUCAGCCAUGAUGCGGUGAAUACGUUCCCGGGCCUUGUACACACCGCCCGUCAAGCCAUGGAAGCCGGGGGUACCUGAAGUCGGUCACCGCAAGGAGCCGCCUAGGGUAAAACUGGUAACUGGGGCUAAGUCGUAACAAGGUAACCGUA
rnacentral:rRNA from 1 species